rnacentral:snRNA from 1 species
CAAGUACCGCGAGGUAAA